GAGACAUAAAAUUUGAAAAUAAGCUUCUAACUUAAAUUUCUAGCAGUGAAAUUCUGUUAAUGUUUCU
rnacentral:tRNA from 1 species